UACGGAGGGUGCAAGCGUUGUCCGGAUUUAUUGGGUUUAAAGCGUGCGCAGGCGGUUUUGUAAGCCAGAUGUGAAAUCCCCGGGCUCAACCUGGGAAUGGCAUUUGGGACUGCAAGGCUGGAGUGUGGCAGAGGAGACUGGAAUUCCUGGUGUAGCAGUGAAAUGCGUAGAUAUCAGGAGGAAUACCGAUGGCGAAGGCAGGUCUCUGGGCUGACACUGACGCUCAUGCACGAAAGCGUGGGGAGCAAACAGG
rnacentral:rRNA from 1 species